rnacentral:rRNA from 1 species
GACGUAGGGCGCGAGCGUUGUCCGGAUUUAUUGGGCGUAAAGAGCUCGUAGGCGGCUUGUCGCGUCGACUGUGAAAACCCGCGGCUCAACCGCGGGCCUGCAGCCGAUACGGGCAGGCUAGAGUUCGGUAGGGGAGACUGGAAUUCCCGGUGUAGUGGUGAAAUGCGUAGAUAUCGGGAGGAACACCAGUGGCGAAGGCGACUACCUGGCCUGUUCUUGACGCUGAGGCGCGAAAGCUAGGGGAGCAAACGGG